rnacentral:rRNA from 2 species
GACAGAGGGUGCGAACGUUGUUCGGAAUUACUGGGCGUAAAGCGCGUGUAGGCGGCAGCGCAAGUCGGGCGUGAAAUCCCACGGCUCAACCGUGGAAGUGCACUCGAAACUGCGCAGCUAGAGUCCUGGAGAGGAAGGUGGAAUGCUUGGUGUAGAGGUGAAAUUCGUAGAUAUCAAGCGGAACACCGGUGGCGAAGGCGGCCUUCUGGACAGUGACUGACGCUGAGACGCGAAAGCGUGGGGAGCAAACAGG